GACGAACGCUGGCGGCGUGCCUAAUACAUGCAAGUAGAACGCUGAAGAGAGGAGCUUGCUCUUCUUGGAUGAGUUGCGAACGGGUGAGUAACGCGUAGGUAACCUGCCUGGUAGCGGGGGAUAACUAUUGGAAACGAUAGCUAAUACCGCAUAAAAUGGAUUAUCGCAUGAUAAUCCAUUGAAAGGUGCAAAUGCAUCACUACCAGAUGGACCUGCGUUGUAUUAGCUAGUUGGUGGGGUAACGGCUCACCAAGGCGACGAUACAUAGCCGGCCUGAGAGGGUGAUCGGCCACACUGGGACUGAGACACGGCCCAGACUCCUACGGGAGGCAGCAGUAGGGAAUCUUCGGAAAUGGACGGAAGUCUGACCGAGCAAAGCCGCGUGAGUGAAGAAGGGUUUCGGAUCGUAAAGCUCUGUUGUAAGAGAAGAAAGAGUGUGAGAGUGGAAAGUUCACACUGUGACGGUAUCUUACCAGAAAGGGACGGCUAACUACGUG
rnacentral:rRNA from 1 species